GGUUAAGUUAGAAAGGGCGCACGGUGGAUGCCUUGGCACUAGGAGCCGAUGAAGGACGGGACGAACACCGAUAUGCUUCGGGGAGCUGUAAGCAAGCUUUGAUCCGGAGAUUUCCGAAUGGGGAAACCCACCACUCGUAAUGGAGUGGUAUCCAUAUCUGAAUACAUAGGAUAUGAGAAGGCAGACCCGGGGAACUGAAACAUCUAAGUACCCGGAGGAAGAGAAAGCAAAUGCGAUUCCCUGAGUAGCGGCGAGCGAAACGGGACCAGCCCAAACCAAGAGGCUUGCCUCUUGGGGUUGUAGGACACUCUGUACGGAGUUACAAAGGAACGAGGUAGAUGAAGAGGUCUGGAAAGGCCCGCCAUAGGAGGUAACAGCCCUGUAGUCAAAACUUCGUUCUCUCCUGAGUGGAUCCUGAGUACGGCGGAACACGUGAAAUUCCGUCGGAAUCCGGGAGGACCAUCUCCCAAGGCUAAAUACUCCCUAGUGACCGAUAGUGAACCAGUACCGUGAGGGAAAGGUGAAAAGCACCCCGGAAGGGGAGUGAAAGAGAUCCUGAAACCGUGUGCCUACAAGUAGUCAGAGCCCGUUAACGGGUGAUGGCGUGCCUUUUGUAGAAUGAACCGGCGAGUUACGAUCCCGUGCAAGGUUAAGCAGAAGAUGCGGAGCCGCAGCGAAAGCGAGUCUGAAUAGGGCGAAUUGAGUACGUGGUCGUAGACCCGAAACCAGGUGAUCUACCCAUGUCCAGGGUGAAGUUCAGGUAACACUGAAUGGAGGCCCGAACCCACGCACGUUGAAAAGUGCGGGGAUGAGGUGUGGGUAGGGGUGAAAUGCCAAUCGAACCUGGAGAUAGCUGGUUCUCUCCGAAAUAGCUUUAGGGCUAGCCUCAAGGUAAGAGUCUCGGAGGUAGAGCACUGAUUGGACUAGGGGCCCCUACCGGGUUACCGAAUUCAGUCAAACUCCGAAUGCCGAUGACUUAUCCUUGGGAGUCAGACUGCGAGUGAUAAGAUCCGUAGUCGAAAGGGAAACAGCCCAGACCGCCAGCUAAGGUCCCAAAGUAUACGUUAAGUGGAAAAGGAUGUGGAGUUGCUUAGACAACCAGGAUGUUGGCUUAGAAGCAGCCACCAUUUAAAGAGUGCGUAAUAGCUCACUGGUCGAGUGACUCUGCGCCGAAAAUGUACCGGGGCUAAACGUAUCACCGAAGCUGCGGACUGUUCUUCGAACAGUGGUAGGAGAGCGUUCUAAGGGCUGUGAAGCAAGACCGGAAGGACUUGUGGAGCGCUUAGAAGUGAGAAUGCCGGUAUGAGUAGCGAAAGAGGGGUGAGAAUCCCCUCCACCGAAUGCCUAAGGUUUCCUGAGGAAGGCUCGUCCGCUCAGGGUUAGUCGGGACCUAAGCCGAGGCCGAAAGGCGUAGGCGAUGGAUAACAGGUUGAUAUUCCUGUACCACCUCCUCACCAUUUGAGCAAUGGGGGGACGCAGGAGGAUAGGGUAAGCGCGGUAUUGGAUAUCCGCGUCCAAGCAGUUAGGCUGGGAAAUAGGCAAAUCCGUUUCCCGUGAAGGCUGAGCUGUGAUGGCGAGCGAAUUAUAGUAGCGAAGUUCCUGAUUCCACACUGCCAAGAAAAGCCUCUAGCGAGGUGAGAGGUGCCCGUACCGCAAACCGACACAGGUAGGCGAGGAGAGAAUCCUAAGGUGAUCGAGAGAACUCUCGUUAAGGAACUCGGCAAAAUGACCCCGUAACUUCGGGAGAAGGGGUGCUCUGUUAGGGUGCAAGCCCGAGAGAGCCGCAGUGAAUAGGCCCAGGCGACUGUUUAGCAAAAACACAGGUCUCUGCGAAGCCGUAAGGCGAAGUAUAGGGGCUGACGCCUGCCCGGUGCUGGAAGGUUAAGAGGAGCGCUUAGCGUAAGCGAAGGUGCGAAUUGAAGCCCCAGUAAACGGCGGCCGUAACUAUAACGGUCCUAAGGUAGCGAAAUUCCUUGUCGGGUAAGUUCCGACCCGCACGAAAGGCGCAACGAUCUGGGCACUGUCUCAACGAGAGACUCGGUGAAAUUAUAGUACCUGUGAAGAUGCAGGUUACCCGCGACAGGACGGAAAGACCCCGUGGAGCUUUACUGCAGCCUGAUAUUGAAUGUUGGUACAGCUUGUACAGGAUAGGUAGGAGCCUUGGAAACCGGAGCGCCAGCUUCGGUGGAGGCAUCGGUGGGAUACUACCCUGGCUGUAUUGACCUUCUAACCCGCCGCCCUUAUCGGGCGGGGAGACAGUGUCAGGUGGGCAGUUUGACUGGGGCGGUCGCCUCCUAAAAGGUAACGGAGGCGCCCAAAGGUUCCCUCAGAAUGGUUGGAAAUCAUUCGCAGAGUGUAAAGGCACAAGGGAGCUUGACUGCGAGACCUACAAGUCGAGCAGGGACGAAAGUCGGGCUUAGUGAUCCGGUGGUUCCGCAUGGAAGGGCCAUCGCUCAACGGAUAAAAGCUACCCCGGGAUAACAGGCUUAUCUCCCCCAAGAGUCCACAUCGACGGGGAGGUUUGGCACCUCGAUGUCGGCUCAUCGCAUCCUGGGGCUGUAGUCGGUCCCAAGGGUUGGGCUGUUCGCCCAUUAAAGCGGUACGCGAGCUGGGUUCAGAACGUCGUGAGACAGUUCGGUCCCUAUCCGUCGCGGGCGCAGGAAAUUUGAGAGGAGCUGUCCUUAGUACGAGAGGACCGGGAUGGACGCACCGCUGGUGUACCAGUUGUUCUGCCAAGGGCAUCGCUGGGUAGCUAUGUGCGGACGGGAUAAGUGCUGAAAGCAUCUAAGCAUGAAGCCCCCCUCAAGAUGAGAUUUCCCAUUCCGCAAGGAAGUAAGAUCCCUGAAAGAUGAUCAGGUUGAUAGGUCUGAGGUGGAAGUGUGGCGACACAUGGAGCUGACAGAUACUAAUCGAUCGAGGACUUAACCAA
rnacentral:rRNA from 1 species